GAGGGGCAGCAUUUUAGUUUGCUUGCAAACUGAAGAUGGCGACCGGCGCACGGGUGAGUAACACGUAUCCAACCUGCCGAUAACUCCGGAAUAGCCUUUCGAAAGAAAGAUUAAUACCGGAUGGCAUACGAAUAUCGCAUGAUAUUUUUAUUAAAGAAUUUCGGUUAUCGAUGGGGAUGCGUUCCAUUAGUUUGUUGGCGGGGUAACGGCCCACCAAGACUACGAUGGAUAGGGGUUCUGAGAGGAAGGUCCCCCACAUUGGAACUGAGACACGGUCCAAACUCCUACGGGAGGCAGCAGUGAGGAAUAUUGGUCAAUGGGCGAGAGCCUGAACCAGCCAAGUAGCGUGAAGGAUGAAGGCUCUAUGGGUCGUAAACUUCUUUUAUAUGGGAAUAAAGUUUUCCACGUGUGGAAUUUUGUAUGUACCAUAUGAAUAAGGAUCGGCUAACUCCGUGCCAGCAGCCGCGGUAAUACGGAGGAUCCGAGCGUUAUCCGGAUUUAUUGGGUUUAAAGGGAGCGUAGGUGGAUUGUUAAGUCAGUUGUGAAAGUUUGCGGCUCAACCGUAAAAUUGCAGUUGAAACUGGCAGUCUUGAGUACAGUAGAGGUGGGCGGAAUUCGUGGUGUAGCGGUGAAAUGCUUAGAUAUCACGAAGAACUCCGAUUGCGAAGGCAGCUCACUAGACUGUCACUGACACUGAUGCUCGAAAGUGUGGGUAUCAAACAGGAUUAGAUACCCUGGUAGUCCACACAGUAAACGAUGAAUACUCGCUGUUUGCGAUAUACAGUAAGCGGCCAAGCGAAAGCAUUAAGUAUUCCACCUGGGGAGUACGCCGGCAACGGUGAAACUCAAAGGAAUUGACGGGGGCCCGCACAAGCGGAGGAACAUGUGGUUUAAUUCGAUGAUACGCGAGGAACCUUACCCGGGCUUAAAUUGCAUCAGAAUAUAUUGGAAACAGUAUAGCCGUAAGCUGUUGUG
rnacentral:rRNA from 1 species